GGGUAGUUUGACUGGGGCGGUCUCCUCCUAAAGAGUAACGGAGGAGCACGAAGGUUGGCUAAUCCUGGUCGGACAUCAGGAGGUUAGUGCAAUGGCAUAAGCCAGCUUGACUGCGAGCGUGACGGCGCGAGCAGGUGCGAAAGCAGGUCAUAGUGAUCCGGUGGUUCUGAAUGGAAGGGCCAUCGCUCAACGGAUAAAAGGUACUCCGGGGAUAACAGGCUGAUACCGCCCAAGAGUUCAUAUCGACGGCGGUGUUUGGCACCUCGAUGUCGGCUCAUCACAUCCUGGGGCUGAAGUAGGUCCCAAGGGUAUGGCUGUUCGCCAUUUAAAGUGGUACGCGAGCUGGGUUUAGAACGUCGUGAGACAGUUCGGUCCCUAUCUGCCGUGGGCGCUGGAGAACUGAGGGGGGCUGCUCCUAGUACGAGAGGACCGGAGUGGACGCAUCACUGGUGUUCGGGUUGUCAUGCCAAUGGCACUGCCCGGUAGCUAAAUGCGGAAGAGAUAAGUGCUGAAAGCAUCUAAGCACGAAACUUGCCCCGAGAUGAGUUCUCCCUGACUCCUUGAGAGUCCUGAAGGAACGUUGAAGACGACGACGUUGAUAGGCCGGGUGUGUAAGCGUAGCGAUGCGUUGAGCUAACCGGUACUAAUGAACCGUGAGGCUUAACCUUACAACGCCGAAG
rnacentral:rRNA from 1 species